rnacentral:tRNA from 1 species
GUCCAGCUAGCUCAGUCAGUAGAGCAUGAGACUCUUAAUCUCAGGGUCAUGGGUUCUUGCCUCACACUGGGCA